UGUCUUGUAGCGCAAUGGUUAGCGCUUUAGACUUCUAAUCCAAAAGUCGUGGGUUCGAAUCCCACCAGGAAUAG